AAUGAGCAGGGUUUUUUUUUUUUUUUCCACACUGAAAAGAACACUUGCUUCUCUUUUUCCAACAUUUAGCUUAUGAUGGUUUUAGAAUUUAUGUUCUCAGUUAUAUCUUCCAUUGACUUUGAAAUCCUAGAAAAUACUCACCAUAGUUCUUCCCAGAACCCAGCACUCUUCAAAGCCUGUCUUUAUAUAGCAUUAGAAAAUGGAGACGCACAAAACUAUUUCACAUGAGUUUGUUGCUCUGGUUCACUUCUAAGAACACUGGCUCUGCUCUUCCGACUAACCAGAAUCACGACAGCUGUCUAAUAGCUGAGCAAUGUCUGUUAUUAGGGGUGAGAAUGUGAAGAGAUUUCCAUGCUAAGUUUCUCAGAGUUGAGCUGAGGGUAAGUUCUAUUUUCUUUCACUGGAAAAGAUUUGAGCUAGAUUUUUUUUAAAAAAAAACAAUAGAUGUCUUCGGAAUGAAGUCCCUAAGACCGUGCUGGAAAGUACUAAUGGCCGUGUUUGCCCACCUGGCUGGAUGUGCCAGCCUCAUGUCUGCGACUGGUCUAGGUCAGUUCAUGUCAUUGACUUCUACGGGGCUAUCAGUAUUUGGGUUUUUUAAAACUUUCUAUUCAGAGCUGAAAUCCCAUCUGGUCUUCAGUACUUAUUCAUUUCUAUUCCAUUGUUUCCAAACUUCAUUCCUGUCUGCUUCAAAUGCUUUUCAUGGGCAUCUUCCUCUUUUGGGGCCAUAGGACAUAAAAUCUUUGAGCUGAAAGGUCCAUUAGAGUUCAUCCACUAUGAUGUCCUCAUUUUACAUAUGAGAGAAAUGAGGCACAGAGAAGGGAAAGGAAUUGAUGGUCAUAAUUUAAUGGGGUUUGUCUUAGAUCCCAGCUCUUCUGAGUGCUGAUUUGGCCACCUGCCUAAAGAGGUGGUAUAAUCUGAAGUGGGGAUUAGAACUAAGGUGCAUGUCUGAACAGUUUGUGCCCUCACUAUAUGACUCUCUAUUAGUUUUCUAUGCUAUGUAACAAAUUGCCCCAAGUAUAGUUUCUUAAAACAACAUACAUCUACUAUCUCACUGUUAUAUACUAAAUUAUUAUAUAUGUGUGUGUGUGUAUAUAUAUAUAUACACACAUACAUGUAUAUAUUAUACCAUAUAUGUUCUAUACUAUAUAUAUCUUGCUAUUUCUGGAGGUUAGGAAUCUGAUCAAGGCCUAGCUGGAUUCUCCAGAUUCAGGCAGCAAUAAUCACAGUAGCUGCCAGUCUGUGUUCUUAUCUGGAGGCCCAACUGCAGAAGUAUCUUCUUCCAAGCUUUCUCAGGUUGUUGGCGGAAUUUAUUUCCUUGUGGCUGUGAAAUUGAGGGCCCUGGCUUCCUUAUGGCUGUUGGCUAGAGAUGGUCUCAGCACCUAGAGGCCAUCCUCACUCCCUUGACAUCUGGGCCUUCUAAGUUGCUCACUUACUUCUUCAAAGCCAGCAAGGGAGAAAGUUUCUAGCAAGAUAGAGUCUUAUAUAACUUAACAGAAUCAAGGCGAGAGACACCGCGUGACGGUUUCCAUAUUCUAUUGGUUAGAAGCAACUCACAAAUAGUACCCAAACUCAAGGGGAGGAAAUUAUACAAGGGCGUGAACCCCAGAGAUGAGGAUCAUUGGGGGUCACCUUAGGGACUGCACAACUCCAAACAAAUGAUUUACUUGGACUAACACAGGAAUAAAUUUCAGGCAAGAAAUAUUCUCACUAUAACUCACUGUCAGUUUGCAAAUACGUUUCCAGUGGUGUGUCUCUGAGCUCUAUCCUCUAUCUCAUUCAAUAAUUUUAUCCUUUUUAUCAAUGAAUCCGUGAAGAUACAAAAGAUAAGCUUUUCAAAUUUAUAGGUGAACGAGAUCAGAGUGUUAGCAAAUAAUUUGGAUGACACAAUUAAGUUUCAUUUUUAUUUCAAUGCUAGUGUAAUGGGAAUAACAUUUUUGAUUUAUAUCAAAAUAAUUUUUCUAUUUGAAUUUUCUUGCAUGUGACCUCCCAUUCAGCCAGAGGCAUCCAUUUGCCUUGGAGAAAAUUAAGAUUUUUGUAGCAGGAGUGCAAGGAAAAAGGCAAUGCUGAAUUUAUAAACUCCAAAAUGGAAGUUUUGAAUUCACAGACUGACUAUUCUGAAAGACAGGCUUGGUGAGAGAGAAUAGAUUUUCUAAACUUCUUUAGCUUCCAGUAACAUUAUUUUUCUUUUCUUUUCUUUUUUUUGAGGUAGAUUAGCCCUGAGCUAACAUCUGCCACUAAUCCUCCUCUUUUUUGCUGAGGAAGAGUGGUCCUGAGCUAACAGCUGUGCCCAUCUUCCUUCACUUUAUAUGGGACGCCUGCCACAGCAUGGCUUGACAAGCAGUGCAUAGGUCUGCACCUGGGAUCCGAACCGGGGAACCCCGGGCCGCCAAAGUGGAACGUGUGCACUUAACCGCUGCACUACUGGGCUAGUCCUCCAGUAAUACUUUUGAUCAUUGAGUUUUAAUAUAAGUAACAGGGCAGAGGGAACUUAGGUAAGAUGUCACAGAAGCCUCUGCCAUUAAAGAAGGGAGGAAAACACACCCCUUGCAUUCCCAGAGGGCUGUGGGAAAGAGAAAGAAGACAGAACAGGAUACGGUGGUCAGAUGUUGGGGCCCUGAGGGACCUUGCUCAAGGCCCAAAAUUCAAGGGUUGCUGAAAUAUCUAGGUAAGUAUAUGGAAACCCAGUCAUACUGGGAUGAUUGAUCAGUUUCCUUAGGUGUAGCCUGAGGCUACCUGCAAACUUCUGGAAUUGCCUCACAAUGGGCUGGGCAACUGUAAUUUCCAGUGUGGUAUGUAUCACUGACAGAGAGGCGGCUUGAUAGAUGAACCUGAGGCACCACUUCUAGCCUCCUGUGAUCUGUUAGUGUCAUUCUUGGAGCUCAGAAAUUCCCAUAUAGCCCAGGGAGGGCACAUGGAGAUGCUGAGGGGGCUUGGAGUGGAAACAAAGGUUCGCAGUGACAAUGUUGGACCUUACCUGAGCCCUGUGAUUCGGGAAAACUAGCCAAGGAUAAGAAAUCCCCUAUCUUUUUGUGUUCCAGGAAAGGGCUCACUUCAAAGCACCACCCUCUCCCAUAUGACCUAGAAAAAGCUAUCUGAUGCCACCUAGUUUACCUACUACAAGACCAGACCUGUACCCUCCAAAUUCCCAUUCUUUGCCUCAUAAAUGGUUAGCUGAAUUGCUUGUGUCUACUGAUCAACUGAACAAAAUACUGGUUAAUUAAACUUUGGUUAGAGUUAGAAUUUUCUCCUUCUCCCAGUUCUCUUAACUUUGGCCCACCUCCAGCUGAGUCAGUACACAGCCCCUCCCAAGAUUAGGCUCGCCUCUCAGUAAAAUAUUCUCUGAUUCACUAUUCCAUCACACCACUCUUUCAUCCCACUUCCUCACACCCAGUUCUUUGUAACCUUGUUUACUCUUCUCUAUAAAAGAAAAGCUCUAUUUGCAGAACUCUUGAGAUGCUUGCAGAUAUUAUGGUUAAGGCGUCCUCCCAAUUACAAUAGCCCCGCCUCCUACUGCAAUAGCCCUUUUUGCAACAAUCCUUUUGAAUAAGUCUGUCCUUACUAAGUCUGUAUUUCUUUUUAUUUGACAACAGCAUAUGUGAGCUUGUGACCAGAGGCAAAUGGCCAGAGCCACUGAUCCAACCGUGGAUGCCAGAAUGAUGUCCCAAGGCUCAAAUGGGGCCAUCGACACCUCAGGGAUGAGAUCCAACAACUUGCUCCGUGGUACAGACCAGUGAGGACCAGAGGAUGUCACUCAGGUUUGGCGCCCCUUUUCCAUCAUCGUGAGGUCUCAUGAUUCCCUCCUUCAGCCAGUUUACAUCUUGGAGAAGAGGGUCUGGAGUGAUCCACAGGCACUGAAAAAAUUUACUCAAAAGAAUCAAGUCUGUUUCUUCCAGCUUAAAAGUCUUUUUUGAAUGAGACACCAUUACUGGAAAAUUUAUUUUUUUCUUGCUACCCAGUAGGCUCUUAUGAGGGUGACUGGCUCUGUUACCAAAAGUUUACAAAAGCCACAUUUUCUUAACUACAACUAACAGUAGUGUGUGCAAAUUUGUGACCGGCUACACUAGAAUUAUGAAUCAAACAAAACAAGAUGAUGUUCCACAGCAAUAAAUGUAAAAUCCUGCCUUUGAGCUCAAAAACAUGUAAGGACAGGAUGUGAAUAUUUGGUUUAGGAACAGCAUGGCAGCACUCAGGAAGAAAAAAUUAGGGGUUGCAUUAGUCAGGAAUUUUUUGGUCGCAACUUACAGAAACCCAACUGGAAUUAGGCAAAAGGUCAAAAAGGGAAUUUAUUGGAUCUUGGAAUCCAAGAACAACCAGACUGAGAGAAGGAAGGGAGGCUGCUGUGUUUUAGGGAAAAACGGGGCAAGGGACACAAAGCUGUGGGACUCCCUCCAUUCUAGUCUUGGCUUCUCUUUGGGUGGCAUUCUCUCCUUUGGGUUUUCUUCUCUCUCACUACACACCAUCCUUCUGCACUAGGCAGGGUUAUGGCCCUUCAAUGCUUGUGAGUCUCACCUCUUCUGACUUUUGCUACUGGACUUGAUGGCGGCUCAGAAGAAUGCUGUGGAAGAAUUCUCAUAGGAAACCUGGUAAGGGCUCUCCUGUGGCCAGGGAAAGAGAAUCAUGUAAAAAAAAAAAAAAGCUGUUCUCAAACUAGCCAUUUAAAUGUGUUUAUGGGAGGGAGAAAAGAAGGGGGCCACUCCAAAAUUUCAAGAAGUAAAGGAAGUUUCUGGAUAAAUAAUCCCAUAUAGUCCAAGUAUAAGUGUGUGGUCAACAUUGUUAAUAUUAAGUAAGGGAGAGAACAUGUUUUUCAGAGAAGUUGAUGUGGUGGGAGCCCGGGUCUGUGGAUGUGGAGUUCAGGGUGCCACAGUUAGCACACAUGGAGGCUGGGGUUUCCUUAUGAGGUCACACUUAGAGGACAUUAUAGGCCACAUGUAAGGCCUUUCGAGGGAAGCAAGUAGACUGGUGCGGCAACUCAAACCAUCCCGUGUUAUUGCUGAUGUAGCUAUCUCGAGGACCCCCUGAAAGUACUGAGGAUGUUUAGACUGGAGAGAAGAAGGCCAGGGACAUAGCAGCCAUUGUCAACUGCUCCUAUUCUUUAUGGACUAGUACCUAGAAGCUUCAAGGCAACAGAGUUUGAUUCAAUAUAAGGACUUCCUCACAGUGAUGGCUGCCCCCGAUGAAUGGGUGUGUAUGACGAAGUGGUGAGAUCAUGACACAUGACAGUACAGGGUACAUUUAUUGACUCCUUCAUCUAUUCAUUCAUUCAGCAAAUAUUUAUUCAUUAACAAAUAGACCACAUUAGUAAAUGGACAAGUUCUACAAGAGCAGCUCAACAUUGCAGUACCCACAUGGCCCAGUGUACUAGCACUAUGUUAAUAUUUGUUAAAUGAAUGAAAGAAUAUAUGGAUGAGUGAGGGGGUGUGGACACUGUGCUGGGUACUAGAGAUGACCUUACGACCCUCAAGGAGCUGACAAUUUAGUAACCGAGGCAGUUGAUCAAACAGUGAUGGUGCUCUGCAUGCAGUGGAUACAUGUACAAGUUGCUUUGAAAGAACAGAGGGGUGGUAUUGGCAGAAAGUGUUCCUGGAGCUCAGAGAAGGGCUGGCAGAGUUGGAAACUUCUUAUUGGAAAAGGUAAGCAAAGUGGAGAGGAAUGGGAAGAACAUUCCCAGAGGGAGAAAAAGUAUAGCUACGGGAAAGAGGUGGGGCGAGGCAGGCCUCUUGUUCCUGGGUUGCCCCUCUGCCUGAUGGAAGCCCCUCUGCAGGCCCCAUGGUGCUCUGGUUCUGUUCCUUCCACUUCUGCACUGCACUUCCCAUUCCUGCCCCAUGAUAUGUGCUGGAGUGGAGGGGGACAGCCAGAGAACUCUGGGUGUGCGGAGGAGGCCUUCAGCCCAUGUUCUCCCCACCUUCAUACGGAGAAGGCAAAGGCCUAGGGUCACCGAGGUGCCCUAAACUCCUCAGAAGAAGCCCUUUACUCACUCCUUUGUUGGAGCAUUUAUGCUCUCACUCCCAUCCCUUCCCUUAUCUAACCUGACCUCCUUUCUCUACUGUGAUGUGAUGUGGUGUAUGUAAUAUACUCAGUAUCACAAAGGUGUAAAUGAUGGACCAGGUUUAAUCUCUUACCCAUUCAGCGUUCAUCUACAUUUUAAUAAGAGAGAGUAUUUUUAGCCAAAGCAAUGAUAUCCUCAACAGGAAAUCCUGAGCGUCUCCAAUAGAAGUGGGAAGAUUUAGAGGAUCAGUGAUAAGGAUGAACUUCUUUACCCCUCCACCUCCAAGAGUUUUUUUCACACUGCUGGUCGUGGAUUGGGAAAUCAAUUUUGAGGGUCACAGUUAGCAUUAAAAAAAAUGAAAUCGAAUUGAGUAGAAUGGAAUAGAAGAGACAAAAAUAUCAGAGUUCAUAGCAUGCAGUAAGGGUAAGUUACGUUUCACAAAACAUAUUUCAGGUAAAUGUAUAUGUGUGUGAAUGAUGUAAAAUACACUUUUUGCUGUGAGUUGUAGUAAAACCAAAGAUUUGAAAAAGCACUGCCUUAAAAUUACCCUCUAGAAAAGUACAAUUUGAUUUUUCCUGAAUGAGUUGGCUUUUUCUUAGAAUUGGGACAAUCUCGGCUAGUCUAGCCUGCCUUGUGGUGGGUUCUAAGCAGAAUAGUAUUUCGAUUUUUUUUUUCUAUGUCCCAUAUCAGAGGAGCGGAGGUCUCUCAGUUUUUCCAAGUCCUCUCAGGAAACGAAACAAAAUGAAAUGCUAACCAUUGUUUCCUGCCUACCUAAGCAAAGGAUUUUUGCCUGACAUGUCCCCAUUAUAAGAGAUGAAAGCUUGACUCAGUGUUUCUAAGUGCCUUUGAGGAUUAGAGUCAUUCAUAAUGCAUAUCUGCCAUUCACAAGAGUAAAUGUGGAUUUCCUACUGGACUUUUUUCCAUUUGUCGAAGGCAGGAAAACCAAUGAGGCUUGUUUAAAUCAAAUGAGGUCACGGUUUGGAUAACUAGUCCUGAGGAAGAAAAGCUAGACCCACUACUAGUAUUGCAAAGUGUUCCCCUGUUCCCAAAGGCAAGCUGAGCCCUUGGGUCUAUGGCACCAGGUAAAGGGAGCACAAGAACACACAGACUGUAGAAACAUUUUCUUUUCUUUUUUUGCCAGAAAAGCCUCCUGAGCUCUGAAGAGAUGCAUGGAGAAUUCCAUUUUACCGAGUCAAGAGGAUCAAUUAAAAUGCCACGUCUGCUAGGUUUAAGGUGAAAUAGAGCCCCUGGAGAUUCAGAAGGACCACUUCGAGAGUUUCUGCCUCAGGGAAACCUCCCAGAAUUGUAAACUGGUUGUUCAGGUGAUGAAAUUUGUCCAGAGUCUGUGCCACCCAGAUGCAAGAAAAUAAAUCCACAACUUUGGCCAAAUUGAUAAUGAGUAAUGAUUAACAAAAUGUUCUUUUUCCUGGCUGGACUCCCGGGAGAGAGACUUUGUUUCUCCCAGGUGGCUUAAAGAGGAGCUUGCCUUUGUGUGUUCUCCACAUUCCAGGAAAGAUGAAGGUAGAGCUAACGUCUCUCCUGCAGGCGAAGUUCCCUGUCCUAGGUGGUCUUUAUGGAUCAGGCUGCCUCCUAAUUACAUACUGAUCAUUUAAAAAGUGAAACUCCAGGGAGCGACGGGCCAGUGAGCAAUUCCUCUGACUCCUCAGAGCCAUCAGACUCACGUGGAAUGAAGAAUGUCCCUCAGAUGCUGGAAGUGCUGCUGAAGACAUUCCUCAGUCAUCAGUUCUUGAUGGGGAUUGCCUUUGUUGAAGAGAACAGUCUGAGCCAAUCAUGUCCCCAUUCUGGGGUGGUCAGCAUCCAAUGACUAAUGAACAUGGAGGUGGAAAGGCUCAGCUAUUACAUCCAGGUGGAUUCAAGUUGGAAGCUCACCUGAGCUUCAGAACUCUCUGCAGGGUUGUCUGCGGCUUCCUUAGAGACUGCAUCACAGCCGACUUCUCCCUGUGCCUAAUCUUGCUUCCUUCCUGCCUUUCCACCGAUGCUGAUUCCAAGAGCUCUCUCGUAAGUCUCCUGCAUGCUGAUCUCCAUCUCAGAAUCGGCUUCCAGGGAUCCCAAUGUGAGCCACCUACUUUCGUCUGAUCUGAGCAACUUGAGGACAGGGACUGUGCCUUAUUCAUCUUUGUAUUUCUAGCACCCACAAAGUGCCUGGCGCAAAGUGUGCUCUAAAUCAAUGUUGGUGGGCAGGCUGAAUAAAUGAGAUGCAAAGUGUGAGAGGGAUUUGGCAUUGUUAAAAGAUGAAGGGGGCAAUCAGGUUUCCUCUAGAAGGCAGAUAGCUUCAUCGUUUGAUCGUCUCACCGUUAAUAGACUCAACUAUUAAACAGGCGAAGAGGUCUGGAUUUGGAGUUAAUAGAUCCAGGUACAAGUGUUAUUUUUCCCCUUACUUAUGUGUGUGUAUUGCUGGGUUCUAGCAGGAAGGAGAAAACACACUCAAACCUGGUGAUUCCAGGAGAAUUUAGUUGAAGGACUAUUUACAAGGCAAAGGCUGAGUUCAAGGAAACCAACAAAUAGUGCAGUAUCUGGGGCUAUUGACACAUUACCAUCUGAAGGCCUGAAGGGGCAAGGGAAGGGGGCCAAGUGUGGAAUGCAGAGGGGCUACCAAAAGGGAAUUGCGCCUUGCCUAGGGGGAUAGAGUCUGUUCACUGAGACCUAGUAGGAAGGGAGCAAGGGAAAUAAGGGCCCAGGGCUUAUUCUGCAACGCCCUCCCCUCUCCUACCAGUGUGUCCCAUUGGCCAUGCCCCAUGAGAAGCCAGAAGCCCAGGGGGUCCUUGCUGCAGGCCAGUGGCUUCCCAGGCACAGAGGGCAGAGAAGGGGGGGAGGGUGGAGAAGAGAGGAGAAUGGAUCUGGAGUGGUCAACAGAAGAUGCCCAGCACAGGGACCAUGGAGGGACUCAAGAGUUUAAGUGAUUUGCUUCUUACCUGGGGACGGGAGCUCCACCCUGCCCACUGGAUGGGUAAGAUACAUGAAACAUGCUUUGUAAACUGCAAAUUGCAAUACAUGUAUUACAUAUGGUUUAACUGAAAAUAUUCAUGCAUUGUUUCCAAGGGUAGGUCUUCUUACAAUACAACUUCUUUCCAAAUCUAGGAAGAGCUGCAGCAGACAGUGUUACUGAUUCAGUAGCAGGAAAUCACUCCCAUGCCUGCUGGCUAUAGUGCAUUUUGAUUAAUGGGACCUGGGGGUUGGAAAGGCCAGCUUUCUGAGUCAUGACCUGUGCCCUGAAAUUUUAGUUCUUAAAAAAAAAAGGAAGAGAAAAUAAAUGACUGUAUGUGUUGAAAGCCUGAAAGUUUCAGCCAUGCUUUUAAGUGCUUUUCAUGGAUUAAUUUAUCUUUAAAAAAUAUCACAAGGCAUUUCUAAUUUUUAUUCUUGUUUUAAAAAUGAGAGAACUGAAAUGAUGAGAGAUGAAGUAAUUUGCCCAUGGUGACAUAUUUAGUAAAUGAUCUUGUAACUCACUGCCUUAGCCAAUAAAUAUACUGCCUCUCAAUACAGAAUGUUCUUUUGCCUGUAUUUGAAAUGAAAUCAAACGGUGCCAUAUUGAACUUGUACUUUUAAAAUUUGUUUUAAAUAUUUAUCUAUUUUAUCCAAGUAGAUUUAUUCACUGUUGGGUGGUAUAAAAUAACUGGAUGAAUUUCCAAGAAUUUAUUUGUCUAUUCUCUUAUUGAUACAUUAAGUUGAAUCCAAUUUUGCUAUUACAAAUGAUGCUCCAAUUGAUAUUCCUGUAUAUGUCCCUCUGUGAAAAUUUGCUAGAAGAGAAUUUAUGACUAAGAGUGGAGUUCUUAGGCCAUAAAAUUUGUGUGUUCUCAAUUUUAUUAGAUACUGCAAGAUAAUUCUCCAAAGAUUCUGUAGAACUUGGCGCUCUGACCAGCAGUAUAUGAAAAUUACUGUUGCGUCUUAUACUAACCAACUCAAUAUUAUGUUUCUGAAUUUUUCUAUCAUAAUGGAUGGGAAAUGGAAUAGUCAUUAUUGUUUGUCUUUUAUUGCUACUAAUAAAUUUGAG
rnacentral:lncRNA from 1 species